rnacentral:rRNA from 1 species
AGGCCUUCGGGUCGUAAAGCUCUGUUGUUAGGGAAGAACAAGUGCCGAGUAACUAUCGGCACCUUGACGGUACCUAACCAGAAAGCCACGGCUAACUACGUGCCAGCAGCCGCGGUAAUACGUAGGUGGCAAGCGUUGUCCGGAAUUAUUGGGCGUAAAGCGCGCGCAGGCGGUUCUUUAAGUCUGAUGUGAAAGCCCCCGGCUCAACCGGGGAGGGUCAUUGGAAACUGGGGAACUUGAGUGCAGAAGAGGAGAGCGGAAUUCCACGUGUAGCGGUGAAAUGCGUAGAGAUGUGGAGGAACACCAGUGGCGAAGGCGGCUCUCUGGUCUGUAACUGACGCUGAGGCGCGAAAGCGUGGGGAGCAAACAGGAUUAGAUACCCUGGUAGUCCACGCCGUAAACGAUGAGUGCUAAGUGUUGGAGGGUAUCCACCCUUCAG